rnacentral:rRNA from 1 species
GAAAAUGGAUGGCGCUCAAGCGUGCUACCCAUACCUCGCCGCCGGGGUAGAAACGAUGCCCCGGCGAGUAGGCUGGCGUGGAGGCCCGUGACGAAGCCUAGGGAGUGAUCCCGGGUAGAACGGCCUCUAGUGCAGAUCUUGGUGGUAGUAGCAAAUACUCAAAUGAGAACUUUGAGGACUGAAGUGGGGAAAGGUUCCGUGUGAACAGCAGUUGGACACGGGUGAGCCGACCCUAAGAGACAGGAGAGCUCCGCCGAACGUGGCCGCUUCUGUCGGCCCGUCCGUCGAAAGGGAAUCGGGUUAAUAUGCCCGAGCCAGU